GUCAUUCCGCUCGAAACGUUCGAGCUGUACGGUCGCGUGGGUGCUGCGUCAGAGGAACGAACACGAUACAACCCUCCGUUAUCAUCCACUUGCUCGUCGUCUCGUUCCAAAGGGAAACACCAUAAUUGCAGACGUAAUGCGUUCUCGGUGCAACGAAGCUUUCUACCUCGGGCUACAAUGGUAAAGAACGUUGUAGAAAAA
rnacentral:lncRNA from 1 species